AUUGAACGCUGGCGGCAUGCCUUACACAUGCAAGUCGAACGGCAGCACGGGUGCUUGCACCUGGUGGCGAGUGGCGAACGGGUGAGUAAUACAUCGGAAUGUACCUUAUCGUGGGGGAUAACGCAGCGAAAGCUGUGCUAAUACCGCAUCCGCCCUGAGGGGGAAAGCGGGGGAUCGCAAGACAUCGCGCGAUUAGAGCGGCCGGUGGCUGAUUCGCGUGUUGGUGGGGUAAAAUCACACCAAGGCGACAAUCAGUGGCUGGGCUGAGAGGACGAGCAGCCACACUGGGACUGAGACCCGGCCAAGAGUCCUACGGGAGGCAGCAGAGGGGAAUUUUGGACAAGGGGGGCAGCACUGAUCCAGCAAUGCCGCGUGAGUGAAGAAGGGCUUCGGGUUGUAAAGCUCUUUUGUCAGGGAAGAAACACCGGCUCUAACACAGUCCGGGAAUGACGGUACCUGAAGAAUAAGCACCGGCUAACUACGUGCCAGCCGCCGCGGUAA
rnacentral:rRNA from 1 species